GAUGAAGAACGUAGCGAAAUGCGAUACGUAGUGUGAAUUGCAGAAUUCAGUGAAUCAUCGAAUCUUUGAACGCACAUUGCGCCCGCCAGUAUUCUGGCGGGCAUGCCUGUUCGAGCGUCAUUUCAACCCUCAAGCACAGCUUGGUGUUGGGACUCGCGUUAAUUCGCGUUCCCCAAAUUGAUUGGCGGUCACGUCGAGCUUCCAUAGCGUAGUAGUAAAACCCUCGUUACUGGUAAUCGUCGCGGCCACGCCGUUAAACCCCAACUUCUGAAUGUUGACCUCGGAUCAGGUAGGAAUACCCGCUGAACUUAAGCAUAUCAAUAAGCGGAGGA
rnacentral:misc_RNA from 1 species